CCAAUAUAACCGAGCCCUAAUCUUCGCAAGUGUUGACGGUCGGUUUUCAUCAAACCAUAAUAUAUACAGUCACGAACUUCCUUCCCCCCAAAACUCCCCCAGACUCUUCUUCUCCCCUUGAACCCUAAUGCACGCGGCAAAACUCAUGACGGCAAACCUCACGGCGGCAACCCCCACUUCUCACCUAACCGGCGGCAACCCUCUUCUCACCUAAGCGGCGACUACAAUUGAGCCUUCUCCUCUCCUAACCCUAAUACCAGCUCUGAUGGUAACGAUGGCGAAAUCGCCACAAGCCAACGUCGGCUAUAGCAGUGGAAAACCGCCACAGAUCCAGGAACCUAAAGCCAAAAUCACCCUUCACAAGAAACUAAGACGACACCGACCUUCGGUUUAGCGAACACAAGGCGUUGGAUUUAUGGUUCUGGUCACAAUAGAAGGGUUUAAGAGCUAUAAAAAACAAGUUACGACCAAAGACUUCAGCCUUAAAGUUAACUGUGGUGUUAUGGGAAAAAGAUGGGAAGCUUCCGCAAAUAAAAAUUGAUGAAUUAGUCUUAAAUUUAAUGCCGGAAUUGAUUCACAAGGCGUUUGAUGGCCCAGAAUGAAAUCGUGGAAAGUGCCACAAGGUUGUUUCUACGAAUCAGUUUGCAAAGUUUGAAGAGGUCGGUUCGGGUUGCAACGCGUAUGAAGUGGUCGGGUUUGAAGAAAUCACUUUUUAUACUCAUGACGUUUUCUCUGAACCUGUUGAUCCGAAUGAGGUUGUAUCGACAUCUUAUGUAUCCAUCCGAAUCAAUCAUUUUCGAGUAAAAAUGGAGUUGCAGGAAGCGAUUUGCUUCCAGUUUUCGUCGCUUUUGUUAUCGAUCUCACUAUAAGUCUGGAUCUGACUGAAGAUAUGUGUUUAAAGCUUAUUUGUUGCUUGUUUAGCUCUUGAAGAUAUUACAUUCUAUCGCCUGCUUCAAACUGUUCCGACUGAUGUACUGGAAAAGGGAAAGGCUAUAGCUUCAAACUCUCAUAAGACAAAACAAUUUUUUUGUGAAUGUCUCAGAGCUUUGGAAGAACUUGACUAUUGCUACAUGCAUCAAGAAUUGAACCCCGAGCUUCGGUUAAGUCAAUAAAGUCAAAUAUCGGCAUAGCUGUUAAUGCGUUAAACAGCCUGCUUCAAACUGUUCCGACUGAUGUACUGGAAAAGGGAAAGGCUAUAGCUGAUGCAUACAACACUCCUGAAGAAGAUUAUCCACCAAAAAACUUAGAACCAAAGUUGAAGCAGCUGGAGUCGAUACUGUGAUGACGUCAACUGUAUGUUGGGAUCAAUAAUGGUCAGGAUCCAACUCUUGAUUCUCUUGUUAAGCUGACAAGCCUUUUGAUUAUUUAUGAUUUUACUUGUAGUUUACAUUUGUUUCAUGUAUUAAUCAAAUUGGCACUUUGUUUCAUGUAUUAAUCAAUGGUGAUGUUUGUGACAUUAUGUAUGA